AAUCAACGCUGGCGGCGUGCCUAACACAUGCAAGUCGAACGAGAAAGUCUGUAGCAAUACAGAUGAGUACAGUGGCGACCGGGUGAGUAACACGUGGAUAACCUACCGUCGAGCGGGGAAUAACCCUGGGAAACCGGGGCUAAUACCGCAUAACACCCAGCGGCUGCGGCCGCGGGGUUAAAACCCGCAAGGGGCUUGAUGAGGGGUCCGCGGCCGAUUAGCUAGUUGGUGAGGUAACGGCCCACCAAGGCUAUGAUCGGUAGCCGGCCUGAGAGGGCGGACGGCCACACUGGAACUGAAACACGGUCCAGACUCCUACGGGAGGCAGCAGUGGGGAAUUUUGCGCAAUGGGGGAAACCCUGACGCAGCAACGCCGCGUGGACGAUGAAGCCCUUUGGGGUGUAAAGUCCUUUCGGCAGGGAAGAAGCCCGGGCAACCGGGUUGACGGUACCUGAAGAAGAAGCCCCGGCCAACUUCGUGCCAGCAGCCGCGGUAAUACGAGGGGGCAAGCGUUGUUCGGAAUCAUUGGGCGUAAAGGGCGCGGUA
rnacentral:rRNA from 1 species